rnacentral:rRNA from 1 species
CCUACGGGGGAAAAGAGGGGAUCUUCGGACCUUCUGCGAUUGGAUGUACCUAGGUGGGAUUAGCUAGUAGGUGAGGUAAUGGCUCACCUAGGCGACGAUCCCUAGCUGUUCUGAGAGGAUGAUCAGCCACACUGGGACUGAGACACGGCCCAGACUCCUACGGGAGGCAGCAGUGGGGAAUAUUGCACAAUGGGCGCAAGCCUGAUGCAGCCAUGCCGCGUGUGUGAAGAAGGCCUUCGGGUUGUAAAGCACUUUCAGCGAGGAGGAAAGGUUAACGGUUAAUACCCGUUAGCUGUGACGUUACUCGCA